AUUAAAAAUAAAUAAAAAAACCAUAAAAACAUUAGGUGAGGGAUAAUAACGAUGACGAGGCAAAAUUGCCGGUGUCACAAUCGGUUAGCAUGGUUCACUCCAGCACCGCACCGUACCGCCGGCGGGUUUUCCAGUUUUUGAUUCUCAUUUCUCACUCGCUCCAUUUUCUCUCUCUCGUUCUCUUCUUUCCCUCUCACUCUCUCUGCGCAUUUUCCGUUAUGAAUCGGAGCUGAAUCUGAAUCUCAUCGAACUCGAAUUGCGUUGCCGGAUCCUUCUGCGGCCUGAGAAGAGAGAUAGGGCGGCGCUCCGCUCCCUCGCGGCGGAGGCUCUGACCGGCGAUGGCGUUGUCCGGAAUGAGAGGUCUCUCCGUCUUCGUCAGCGACAUCCGCAAUUGUCAGAACAAGGAACAGGUGAGGCUCCGCGUCGACAAGGAACUUGGCAACAUCCGAAAGCGCUUCAAAACCGAGAAGGUAUGUUGAUGUUAUUCUUCAGUUAAUUGACAAGGCUGGAGAAUUUAUUAGUGAUGACAUUUGGUUUUGUGUGGUGCAAUUUGUUACAAACAAUGAAGACCUACAGGUGAGUUUGAAAUUUGUAGCAAGUAUUGUACUUGUUCCUUGUUUGUAUACAGAUUGCUGGAAGCCACUUUUUAUGUCUUUGAUCAGCCCUACACUGCAGCAAAAGCUCGAGAGUAUCUUGACAAACCUGCUAUACAUGAAACAAUGGUUAAGACGAUGAUCAUUCAAUGCUUUUCAAUUGGCAUUAGUAGAUACUGCAUAAGAUUUAUCUGUUUAUGACUUAACGUAUCAUUUAGUGAUGGUGGUUUCUAAAUUGUAGAAUGUUCAUGGGAGGCAUUUACUCAUGUUAAAGAAAGAUGACUUAAAUGUUCAUGAGGAGGCAAAAAUAUGAGAAAAAGUAUUUCUUGUUUAAUUCUGUUUAGCUCACCUGCCUUCAUUGGAAAGGGAUGGGCUGUUAGAACACUCGUUAGUUUUCACCGAAUUGCUUAAUCUUUGUGAAAGAGAUGUCUAGGAUCAAAUGGUCAAGAGUUUGAUUCAUAUCUCCUCUGUUCUACUAAAUAUAAAUAAAUGUUGCAUUUCACAACUUAGGUGGGCUGUGCAUUGUCUCCACUUCAAGCCCAAAGCACUAUUAAUGAAAGGGCAUGUUGGUAUAGAACUAUUCAUUUGUCUUCACCUAAUAGCUUACGAGAGUAUUCGUUAUGAGUUCCAUUGUGAGAUUUGAUUAGCAGUUUGUUAUGUCCGUCCAAAUCUCUCUAGAAUAUUUUCCUUCAUUCAGUUCGAAUUUUCUGGUAGUAAAACUAAAAUUACUGUUAGAGAGAGGACAGUGCUAGAGAACUAGGUAGUUAGAUUGAAUGUUAUUUUUUUUCUGUUUAUUCAUGAACUUUCCUUUGUAUUGUCAUAUUUACUGUCACUAAAUCAUUUUUUAUUUUAUCAAAUCACUGGGACAUAGCCUGAGGUCUGAUUUUAAUCCAGUAUGAAGUUAAUAUCUAUUUCUCAUCUUCAUACACUUCAACAGGUUAGUGAAUAUAUCCUUGGGGAGUUUGGACACCUUCUAGUUAGACAACCUGGAUGUAGUCCAAAGGUAAUAUUUAACAUUAUACAUGAGAAGCUUCCUACUGUAUCGUAAGGGGAAUCAGACCAUUUCCCUCAAAUUAUUCGUAGCUGGACUCCAUUUAGCCUGGAUACCUUAUGAGACAGGCAUUAUUUUCAGGACUUUUACCAUUCCUAUUCUUCUCUCAAAAUAUGCUAAAAUUCUUAUGCACACUCAACCAGCAGAGCCUGAGCUACAGAAUCAGAUAUAGGCAAUAUUUAAGAAAUAUGAUAGUUGCAUUGAAGUUGAGAUACAGCAACGAGCUGUUGAAUAUUGUGCAUUGAGUAGAAAAAGGUGCAUCUCUAAUGGAUAUAUUGGCUGAAAUGCCUAAAUUCCCCAAGCGGCAGGUAUUUUUGCUAUACUAUUGCAGUCAUUUGUUUUACAGUUUUGUUUGAUCAGUUUAGUCGUCAUGGGGUCCAAAGGACUGUUCUAUUUUGAGUUCAGUCUGCAAUGAUAAAAAAGGCUGAGGAUACUGAUGUCGAUGCUACAGAGCAAAGUGCCAUUAAUGGAACUCCACCUGUCAGCCAACUUAGCCUUGUUUGUAACUGAUCAAUGUCCUGUUAAUGGAACUCCACCUGUCAGCCAACUUAGCCUUGUAAAGAUGCCGAUCCCCAGUACAAAUGUGAGUGGAGGACUCAUCAUGGGCGUCUGGUUCUUUUGUUGGGCAACAAUAAUACUUCUCCUCUUGUCUCUGUUCAAGCUUUAAUAUUGUGCCUCCUGCGGAGCUCUCACUCCUCUUGUCUCUGUUCAAGCUUUAAUAUUGUGCCUCCUGUGGAGCUCUCACUGGUACCAGAAACCAUACCUCCGCAGUCACAGACAAGAAUUGAAACAGAUCCAGCAGACAGAAGACAGCUGCGAAUGACAGUUGCUUUGGGAUAACCUAUGUAAGAACCUCCAAUGGCUCAAAUAGCCAGCACUCCUGAAUCAUUGACAGACCCUGGAGCAAUGCUGGCUGCACUUAUAUGACAGUAUUGAGAUGAACAAUGGAUGUUGCCAUGUUGGUUACCAGCUGAGUGUUUGAUAUUUCUGAGUUGGUCGGCAUUUUAUAGAUUCUUUCUGCGCUAAGUGGUGCCCAGUAACUCCGAUUUUGGCAGUCGAAUUUUCUUAUACUUCCUCUUUUUACUGGAUUAUGGUGCACAUAAUAGUUUGUAAAAGUACCGACUCUUAUAAAGCAAAUUGCAACAGUAGACUUUUUUCAUCGUCUAAAAACUAGUUUCAAUAA